GAGAAGAAUUAUGAAAUACAGAAACUGCUA
rnacentral:tRNA from 1 species